AAUACAUGGGAUGAACCUAAUGUCAGUCAACAUGUGAAUGGAUAAAGAAAAUGUGUAACAUGCACACAAUGGAAUACUAGUCAGCCACAAAACGGAUGGGACACGGUCAUUUGCGGCAACUUUGAUGCAGCUGGGUGACAUUAUUUUAGGUUUUUGGUUGAAAGUAAAUGCAUUUUGCAUUCCAUUUACCUGCGUUUAAGGUUGUGUGAGUGGCCAAUAUAAGGAAGGAACAUUCAGACUUCUGCAAUGCCUCAUUUUCUGUGGAGAUAAGGUUACAGCAUUGGAAGGCACCAUUCCUGUCAUCAUGGAACACCUGUCCUAGCCUAGCUCCUGAGCUGUGCCUGCCCUGAUACCAG